AAAUGUUCCAGUAAUAUGAACCUGUUUUACAGAAAAGAAAAUAGGAAGCAAGAAUUUUUCAUUUCCCCUACACUGUAAUACAGAAUUUGAAAGACAGUAAGCAGUAAAUUCAAAAAAUCAUAAAACAGCAGGAACAACUCCAUGCAAUUAAGAAAAAAGAAAGAUGAAUAAGAAAAACAGAAAUAAAUCAGAAUAGAUGGCACAGUCAUUAGAGGAGCAAGGUGUAGAUAUGCAUCUUUGAGAGUUGAAACACAAAAUAAAUAAAAAUUGCUAGAAAAUUCAAAAUUCACACCAUACAUCCAUAAGAAAACAAAUCUGCUGUUAAAACUCCCUUUUGGAUGCAACAAGCAUGUGUUCCUU
rnacentral:misc_RNA from 1 species